AUGGGAUAGAAGGGGGGUGGGGUUCUGAGCAGGUCCACAGGGGGGAAAGCUGGUCUCUCCAGGAAUGCAGGAUGGCAAUCACAUGACCCAUGGCAGCUGAAGAAAAUUCUCCUCCUGCAAAAAUACCAGUGGACCUCCCUCUUCCACAGACCUGGAACUACCCCUGUCGGAAGAAAACCCUCCUCACCCACCUUAAGUGUCUUUUGUCUGUAAUGAGGUUAAAAGAGGCAUCAAGAGAAAGCUCCCUGAAAUACAGAAUUCUCAGGUUCCAUUCUCAGAGAGCUUCAGGAGGUCUCUGGAGGUAGCUUUGCUAGCAUAUGCCACUUUUAGCUGGUAUUGUUUUUCUCCCGUGGGAUGCAAGGCUUUAAUGAACAGUAUUUAACCUCAACAGUCCCACAGUACCACAACCCUGGGUACUCUGUGAGCAUUUCCUGUCUCCAGGCUCUUGGCCAAGGCUUACUCAGGCGGCUCCCUCUCUGGAACAGACAAAUUCUGCUACAGCCAACACUCAUCUGAGCUUUAGUCCUCUGACCCCACUAUUUUAAGUUCUAUUAAAAUUAAAAUGUUGUUUGCA